rnacentral:misc_RNA from 1 species
AACGCACAUUGCGCCCGCCAGUAUUCUGGCGGGCAUGCCUGUUCGAGCGUCAUUUCAACCCUCAAGCCCUGCUUGGUGUUGGUGGCCUGCGGCGCCCCCGUGGCCCGCAGCCGCCCAAAUGCAUUGGCGGACCCGCCGUGGCUCCCUGCGUAGUAGCUAACCUCGCACCGGGCCUAGGCGGCGCCCUGCCGUAAAACCCCCACUUCUCAAGGUUGACCUCGGAUCAGGUAGGAAUACCCGCUGAACUUAA